CUUCGUUUAUGAAAAUAUAUGACGAGACUGAUAUAUCCAUUUUAACCCUGAUGUUAACUGAGGCAUUUGUCUGAGAGGA